rnacentral:rRNA from 1 species
UACGGAGGGGGCAAGCGUUAUUCGGAAUUAUUGGGCGUAAAGGGCGCGUAGGCGGCUAGAUGUGUCAAAAGUGAAAUCCCUCGGCUCAACUGAGGAACUGCCUUUGAAACUGUCUGGCUUGAGGCCGGGAGAGGGUAGCGGAAUUCCCAGUGUAGCGGUGAAAUGCGUAGAUAUUGGGAGGAACACCAGUGGCGAAGGCGGCUACCUGGACCGGUUCUGACGCUGAGGCGCGAAAGCGUGGGUAGCAAACAGG